CUGCGAUCCACCUACCUUGGCCUUCCAAAGUGCUGGGAUUACAGGCGUGAGCCACCAUGCCCAGCCGCUUCAUCUUUCUUUACUCAUGAAUGUCCUAAGCUUUGUAUUCACAGCUGUUCUCAUGCAUUCAUUCCAUGCCGGCCUUAGAGGACUCGGUCAAGACAAUGGUGCCCUCAGGAAGGUUACGAGAGAGCAAGCUGUGCUGCUUUGCCCAUCUUGGGAUGAGAAUCCUGCCUGAGCCCUGCUAUAAAAAUAACCUGCCUGGAAACCUCAUCUCCAAGGGGUAGAAAGAAGCUUUUGUAUCCAGGGAAGCUGCUCUAACUGCCUCCCUGUACCUUCGCCUCAGCCCAUGCAUCAAGGAGGAGCCAGCCAAGGCCAGACCUAUCUCUCCUUGGAGACUGCACAAGCAGGUGAGCAUUAAAGGAAGGCGGGAGGCCAAUUUUUGCCCAGCAUUAGGAAGAACAUUGCUAUUGUUCCAGCAAUGAAGUGAGCUGCCUGAGAGAGUCCGAGCUCUCUGUGGCUGCGAGGCCAGCAGGCCAGGACUUGCAGAGACCACUGGUGCCUAUAGGAGGCACAUGCUGGGCUUGACAAAAGAAAGCCCAACAUUUUAUACCCCUUAAGUCAUCCCCAGCCCAUGCCUUGUUUCCCCAUCCGCACAGUGGUUGGAGCAAGACUAGAUGAAGGCUGAGGUCUUGUCUAGCUCUAACUUUCUAGAAUUCUGGAAUUCCUGAAGGCAGGACUCCAGGCCUCAGGGUCUGGCCAAGAGAACAGAGACGUGGCUGUUUGUCCAGCUUGGUAGAACAGUGGAGCUUAUUGAGCUUGCGGUUCCCUGAAACAGAACCAGUCAAAAGGCAUACGCAGAGAAGGUAAAUUCAUCUGUGGGUCUGGUGAGAGUCACUGAAAAAAAUGUAGUGCUUGAGGACUGUCCAAGGAGAGCCAAUUUUCAACUCAUAGCCUGUGAUGCUGCGCCCAAACAAUGAGAACAGCACACUGGGCUUCAUCCAACCACGGCCAGAGGGAAAACAGUGAUCUUGCAGAUGAUGUCCUCAUCGAUAGCACAGUGACCAAGCGGCCCUGCAUGGUGGGGGCCCCUUAAAAUGGUUCCCCUUCCCUUGCAGGCCUGGUCAGGUGGUGUUUGUAAAGCAAAGGGAACCCUUUUAGA
rnacentral:lncRNA from 1 species